UCGGACAGAAUGCAAUGAUUGGCUGGGUGACUGUCACUCUCCCUCGCUGCCAUGGCUACCAGCCCUGCUGCUACAGAAGCUGCCCACAUGCGCGCACCCGGUCAGCUCUCAGACCUGAGGGGCGAUGGGUGAUAUCUGCAUGGCUUUUCAACGAUAGUGACAACUGAGGAACACCAAGGGGCUGAAAAGUUACACCGUGGUGGCUUUAUUUCUGCUGGACAGGUCCCCUACAGAUUUGGAGUCUUCCAUAACCCUGUGCUUCUCAACAAUAUACGCUGAUGGGACCGUGCUGGCUGGCCUGGAUUACUACUGUAUCCAUAGUCCAGCCAGGAGAAAAGCUGAUGACACAGUUCAGUACAGCAAGGUGUACAACAGAAAGCCAAGGAACUGGAGCUUGUACUUAUUGAAGGUGGAGAAGGACUACAAUUACAUCGCAGACCUCCAGAGUGACAUCCUGCUCCUCCGACAGUUGUCUACUACUGAGGAGAUGCCUAGAAGCAGAACCAGGAGAGCUGAUGAUCCCUGUUAACAUGGGGUUCAGUCAGGUGUCCCUGCCCCAACUGUAUUACUAGAUACAGCAAAAUAUAAAACAAAAAGUAAUAUGGUUGGUUUUGAAAUGUGGUAAUCAUAUCAGAGAGGUGACUGUGAUAUAUUAAAUCAUCUCCACAGCAGCGAUAUGAUAUGAUGCUACAUGCACAGUCUGAAGUGUCUUCAUAAUCAGUCGAUACAUCUGGACACACCUUGUCUCUUCCUGUA